AUGAACGCUGGCGGCGUGCCUAAUCCAUGCCAGUCGAGCGAACGGACGAGAAGCUUGCUUCUCUGAUGUUAGCGGCGGACGGGUGAGUAACACGUGGAUAACCUACCUAUAAGACUGGGAUAACUUCGGGAAACCGGAGCUAAUACCGGAUAAUAUUUUGAACCGCAUGGUUCAAAAGUGAAAGACGGUCUUGCUGUCACUUAUAGACGGAUCCGCGCUGCAUUAGCUAGUUGGUAAGGUAACGGCUUACCAAGGCAACGAUGCAUAGCCGACCUGAGAGGGUGAUCGGCCACACUGGAACUGAGACACGGUCCAGACUCCUACGGGAGGCAGCAGUAGGGAAUCUUCCGCAAUGGGCGAAAGCCUGACGGAGCAACGCCGCGUGAGUGAUGAAGGUCUUCGGAUCGUAAAACUCUGUUAUUAGGGAAGAACAUAUGUGUAAGUAACUGUGCACAUCUUGACGGUACCUAAUCAGAAAGCCACGGCUAACUACGUG
rnacentral:rRNA from 1 species